ACGGGAGGCAGCAGUGGGGGAUAUUGCACAAUGGGGGGACCCUGAUGCAGCAACGCCGCGUGAGGGAAGAAGGUUUUCGGAUUGUAAACCUCUGUCUUCGGUGACGAUAAGAGACGGUAGCCGAGGAGGAAGCCACGGCUAACUACGUGCCAGCAGCCGCGGUAAUACGUAGGUGGCAAGCGUUGUCCGGAAUUACUGGGUGUAAAGGGUGCGCAGGCGGGGAUGCAAGUCAGCUGUGAAAACUAUGGGCUUAACUCAUAGAGUGCAGUUGAAACUGCAUAUCUUGAGUGAAGUAGAGGUAGGCGGAAUUCCUAGUGUAGCGGUGAAAUGCGUAGAUAUUAGGAGGAACACCAGUGGCGAAGGCGGCCUACUGGGCUUUAACUGACGCUGAGGCACGAAAGUGUGGGGAGCAAACAGGAUUAGAUACCCUGGUA
rnacentral:rRNA from 1 species